rnacentral:rRNA from 1 species
AGCAGCCGCGGUAAUUCCAGCUCCAAUAGCGUAUAUUAAAGUUGUUGCAGUUAAAAAGCUCGUAGUUGAAUUUCGGGAUCAAUAUUUCGGUCAUGCCGUUGGUAUGCACUGUUAUCAUUGAUUUCUCACCUUCUAAAGAACCGUAAUGCCAUUAAUUUGGUGUUACGGGGAAUUAGGACUGUUACCUUGAAAAAUUAGAGUGUUUAAAGCAGGCUCACGCUUGAAUACAUUAGCAUGGAAUAAUGAAAUAGGACAUCCGAUUCUAUUUUGUUGGUUUCUAGGAUCGAUGUAAUGAUUAAUAGGGAUAGUUGGGGGCACUAGUAUUCAAUUGUCAGAGGUGAAAUUCUUGGAUUUAUUGAAGACUAACUACUGCGAAAGCAUUUGCCAAGGAUGUUUUCAUUAAUCAAGAACGAAAGUUAGGGGAUCGAAGACGAUCAGAUACCGUCGUAGUCUUAACCAUAAACUAUGCCGACUAGGGAUCGGAUGAUGUUAAUUUUUAAUGUACUCA